UCUAACCGAGAGCCUCUCUCUCUAGCCUCCACCGGAAAUCGCCGCCACCGCCGGACGCCGCCACCGCGCCGCCGCCGGCCGCCGUCGCCGGAACCCCUCUCCUCACCAAAAUUUCCAGAUUUUCUCCUCUUCCUUCCCUCUUUCCAUUUCUCCAACCAAAAUCAUGAAAUUUAGCCAUUUAAUCCCCCAAAAACCCUAGAACCCGAAGCUAAAUUUGGGGCUUUUGUGAUUUCUUCUUUCCAAGCUCAAAUCAAGGUAUUUUCCAUCCUAAUCUAGCCUAUAUUCCUUCGAUCUAUACAUCUUUCUUCCUAAAUCCGAGUUUUUGAUUUGGGUUUGUGAUUUUGUUUGCAUGAGCCCGGUUUCUCCUUGAACCAUGAAGCUAGGCUAUGGGUUUGGCAAGAAUUUUUGGUGAAGAAGGCCAAGGAGAAGGAGUAUGACAUGAUUUUUGAAGAAGAAAGGGAAACACGAUCGUUAAGGAAGCUUAAGCGGAAAGCGUCAGAGUGUGGAAUACGCCGGCAUUUCCAGUGUGCAGGUUUCGAGCAUGUGGUCGGGAAGCGUACAGGGGAGGCACAUGGCCCGGCUUGGCGCAUUUCUCUUUAGUUUUAUCAAAAGGAAGGUUUUGGUCCCUUAUCGGAUUUUGAAGUAAUUUGGUUAUUUAUUUCCUCACUAAUUUAUUUGUUUUCUAUUCGCUCAUUCACAAAAUUUCGAGAGACCCGUAACCCUGGGGCGCGUCUCUCAUACUUGUUUUCACUUCGUGAUUGUUAUUUUCCAAAUUGGACUCCGAUUGUAAGCCCAAAUCUUUUAGCUCACUUUAAAAUUCCGCUUGC